CCUACGGGAGGCAGCAGUAGGGAAUAUUGCUCAAUGGGGGAAACCCUGAAGCAGCAACGCCGCGUGGAGGAUGAAGGUUUUCGGAUUGUAAACUUCUUUUGUCAGAGCAGAUAAUGACGGUAUCUAACGAAUAAGCACCGGCUAACUCCGUGCCAGCAGCCGCGGUCAUACGGAGGGUGCAAGCGUUACUUGGAAUCACUGGGUGUAAAGAGCGCGUAGGCGGGAUAGCAAGUCAGAUGUGAAAUCCUAUGGCUUAACCAUAGGACUGCAUUUGAAUCUGUUAUUCUAGAGUAUGGGAGAGGUAGGUGGAAUUCUUGGUGUAGGGGUAAAAUGCGUAGAGAUCAAGAGGAAUACUCAGUGCGAAGGCGACCUGCUAGAACAUAACUGACGCUGAUGCGCGAAAGCGUGGGGAGCAAACAGGAUUAGAGACCCUGGUAGUC
rnacentral:rRNA from 1 species